rnacentral:sRNA from 1 species
ACCACACCCGGCCUCCUGCCAACCUUUUAGAUUCCUGCUCCAAAACGAGGAGAAAUAGUAAGACAGAUUGGCGAUGCCUUGCGGGAGAAGAUCCAAGUACUAGGAAGCUUGGUGUCUUUGGAGAUGGGGAAAAUCUUAGUGGAAGGUGUGGGUGAAGUUCAGGAGUAUGUGGAUAUCUGUGACUAUGCUGUUGGUUUAUCAAGGAUGAUUGGAGGACCUAUCUUGCCUUCUGAAAGACCUGGCCAUGCGCUGAUUGAGCAGUGGAAUCCUGUAGGCCUGGUUGGAAUCAUCACAGCAUUCAAUUUCCCUGUGGCAGUGUAUGGUUGGAACAAUGCCAUUGCCAUGAUCUGUGGAAAUGUCUGCCUCUGGAAAGGAGCUCCAACCACUUCCCUCAUUAGUGUGGCUGUCACAAAGAUAAUAGCCAAGGUUCUGGAGGACAACAAGCUGCCUGGUGCAAUUUGUUCCUUGACUUGUGGUGGAGCAGAUAUUGGCACAGCAAUGGCCAAAGAUGAACGAGUGAACCUGCUGUCCUUCACCGGGAGCACUCAGGUGGGAAAACAGGUGGCCCUGAUGGUGCAGGAAAGGUUUGGGAGAAGUUUGUUGGAACUUGGAGGAAACAAUGCCAUUAUUGCCUUUGAAGAUGCAGACCUCAGCUUAGUUGUUCCAUCAGCUCUCUUCGCUGCUGUGGGAACAGCUGGCCAGAGAUGUACCACAGUGAGGCGACUGUUUGUACAUGAAAGCAUCCAUGAUGAGGUUGUAAACAGACUUAAAAAGGCCUAUGCACAGAUCCGAGUUGGGAACCCAUGGGACUCUAAUGUUCUCUAUGGGCCACUCCACACCAAGCAGGCAGUGAGCAUGUUUCUUGGAGCAGUGGAAGAAGCAAAGAAAGAAGGUGGCACAGUGGUCUAUGGGGGCAAGGUUAUGGAUCGCCCUGGAAAUUACGUAGAACCGACAAUUGUGACAGGUCUUGCCCACGAUGCAUCCAUUGCACACACAGAGACUUUUGCUCCGAUUCUCUAUGUCUUUAAAUUCAAGAAUGAAGAAGAGGUCUUUGCAUGGAAUAAUGAAGUAAAACAGGGACUUUCAAGUAGCAUCUUUACCAAAGAUCUGGGCAGAAUCUUUCGCUGGCUUGGGUACAACUUUGUCUAUUUUGAAAAUUUAUAUAAGUCUGAUUUAUGUGACCUAAAGGAUCAGACUGUGGCAUUGUAAAUGUCAACAUUCCAACAAGUGGGGCUGAGAUUGGAGGUGCCUUUGGAGGAGAAAAGCACACUGGUGGUGGCAGGGAGUCUGGCAGUGAUGCCUGGAAACAGUACAUGAGAAGGUCUACUUGUACUAUCAACUACAGUAAAGACCUUCCUCUGGCCCAAGGAAUCAAGUUUCAGUAAAGGUGUUUUAGAUGAACAUCCCUUAAUUUGAGGUGUUCCGGCAGCU